UAACUUAAAGGAAUUGACGGAAGGGCACCACCAGGGGUGGAGCCUGCGGCUUAAUUUGACUCAACACGGGGAAACUCACCAGGUCCAGACACGAUGAGGAUUGACAGAUUGAGAGCUCUUUCUUGAUUUCGUGGGUGGUGGUGCAUGGCCGUUCUUAGUUGGUGGAGUGAUUUGUCUGCUUAAUUGCGAUAACGAACGAGACCUUAACCUGCUAAAUAGCCCGCAUUGCUUUGGCAGUGCGCCGGCUUCUUAGAGGGACUAUCGGCUCAAGCCGAUGGAAGUUUGAGGCAAUAACAGGUCUGUGAUGCA
rnacentral:rRNA from 1 species